ACAGAUUUACUUCGGUAAUGACGUUGGGAAAGCGAGCGGCGGAUGGGUGAGUAACACGUGGGGAACCUGCCCCUAAGUCUGGGAUACCAUUUGGAAACAGGUGCUAAUACCGGAUAAUAAAGCAGAUCGCAUGAUCAGCUUUUGAAAGGCGGCGUAAGCUGUCGCUAAGGGAUGGCCCCGCGGUGCAUUAGCUAGUUGGUAAGGUAACGGCUUACCAAGGCGACGAUGCAUAGCCGAGUUGAGAGACUGAUCGGCCACAUUGGGACUGAGACACGGCCCAAACUCCUACGGGAGGCAGCAGUAGGGAAUCUUCCACAAUGGACGCAAGUCUGAUGGAGCAACGCCGCGUGAGUGAAGAAGGUUUUCGGAUCGUAAAGCUCUGUUGUUGGUGAAGAAGGAUAGAGGUAGUAACUGGCCUUUAUUUGACGGUAAUCAACCAGAAAGUCACGGCUAACUACGUGCCAGCAGCCGCGGUAAUACGUAGGUGGCAAGCGUUGUCCGGAUUUAUUGGGCGUAAAGCGAGCGCAGGCGGAAAAAUAAGUCUAAUGUGAAAGCCCUCGGCUUAACCGAGGAACUGCAUCGGAAACUGUUUUUCUUGAGUGCAGAAGAGGAGAGUGGAACUCCAUGUGUAGCGGUGGAAUGCGUAGAUAUAUGGAAGAACACCAGUGGCGAAGGCGGCUCUCUGGUCUGCAACUGACGCUGAGGCU
rnacentral:rRNA from 1 species